UGCCAGCCGCCGCGGUAAUACGAAGGGUGCUAGCGUUGUUCGGAAUUACUGGGCGUAAAGAGCAUGUAGGCGGAUGAAUUAGUCAGAGGUGAAAUCCCAGGGCUCAACCCUGGAACUGCCUCUGAUACUGGCAAUCUAGAGUUCGAGAGAGGUGAGUGGAAUUCCGAGUAUAGAGGUGAAAUUCGUAGAUAUUCGGAGGAACACCAGUGGCGAAGGCGGCUCACUGGACCGAUACUGACGCUGAGACGCGAAAGCGUGGGGAGCAAACAGGAUUAGAUA
rnacentral:rRNA from 1 species